CCUACGGGAGGCAGCAGUAGGGAAUCUUCGGCAAUGGACGGAAGUCUGACCGAGCAACGCCGCGUGAGUGAAGAAGGUUUUCGGAUCGUAAAGCUCUGUUGUAAGAGAAGAACGAGUGUGAGAGUGGAAAGUUCACACUGUGACGGUAUCUUACCAGAAAGGGACGGCUAACUACGUGCCAGCAGCCGCGGUAAUACGUAGGUCCCGAGCGUUGUCCGGAUUUAUUGGGCGUAAAGCGAGCGCAGGCGGUUAGAUAAGUCUGAAGUUAAAGGCUGUGGCUUAACCAUAGUACGCUUUGGAAACUGUUUAACUUGAGUGCAAGAGGGGAGAGUGGAAUUCCAUGUGUAGCGGUGAAAUGCGUAGAUAUAUGGAGGAACACCGGUGGCGAAAGCGGCUCUCUGGCUUGUAACUGACGCUGAGGCUCGAAAGCGUGGGGAGCAAACAGGAUUAGAUACCCUGGUAGUCCACGCCGUAAACGAUGAGUGCUAGGUGUUAGACCCUUUCCGGGGCUUAGUGCCGUAGCUAACGCAUUAAGCACUCCGCCUGGGGAGUACGACCGCAAGGUUGAAACUCAAAGGAAUUGACGG
rnacentral:rRNA from 1 species